rnacentral:lncRNA from 1 species
GGUAUCAUUGCUAUAUGGUCACUUCGAUUAGUACAAAAAUUGGUUCCUGUGCUACCGGCUUAGGUUCGAACCUGCGGGGUCACACACAUUAGAGGUUCCUAUCUGAUCUGAUGGCUGAUGAAGAGUCCUAAUGCUCGUGGACUAUGAGUCCUACAUGUCUGAGACUCUGUGAUCGAGAAUCAAAAUUUUUUGAUCAUGAGUCCCACACAUUUUGGAUACCGGGGUCAAGAGUCCUACUGGU